GUCAACUAACCCUCGACUGAAGUCGAAGGCAUGAGGAGCGAUCCUUAAGGCCUGGUUGAUUAGCCUCAGUGCUUCGGCACUACGUUGUUUUUGUCAUAACACCCACGGACGUCCAUCCUAAUCCGUGGCACUGUUGCCUGUGAUUAAAAGUUCUCUUGGGUUAAUGGGAACGGUGUUUCAGGCGUAAAAAGCAAUUACAACAUUGGCGAAGGAUGCCAAC
rfam:Youngiibacter fragilis 232.1 contig_78, whole genome shotgun sequence.